rnacentral:rRNA from 1 species
CUUAUUAGAGUGUUUCUUUCUUAAACCUUUCUUGCCACGAACCCUAAGGCCUUCUUGGCUCACGCCGCAUGGCUGGAUCAGGAUUUCCCCCAUUGUCCAAGAUUCCCCACUGCUGCCUCCCGUAGG